AUCUUUCAGGCAGCCACCUGGCACCUUCAGCGUCCUUUGCUCCACAAGCGCAAAGCAUAUUUUGAAGCAUAUGUUCAAAAAGCAUUCGGCUAUUACCAAUACCCAUCUUGUUACUCCCGAGUGUAUUCACCGCCCUUCAUUUACUUAUCCGAGCUCACGAUCCCCGGGGUCCUUCACUUGGUCCCCCGUAUUCAGGUCCCUGUUUGGGCGCCACCCGUGAUGGAGCCAGGCGUCACUUGUCGAACAGCACCUGAAUGGGGGAGUGAGGAUGAAGAAAAAGAAAGAUGCAGAGAUAGAGUCAGGAGCCUCUCCGAGAGACUGCCUGUGCUUUUUAUUAGCAGCUCAGUGCCCCCGAACUGGUGAGCUGCCCUCGACCUCUGGUUUGAGACUGCCUGUGCUUUUUAUUCUCCUCCCUUUUUUUCGCAGGUUUACAAGACGUUCUUCUGAAGGUAAACAUCUAAUUUGACAAGGACGCAGUUCCUUGUAACAUAGUCUCCUUGCUCUAUACAAUGGAGGGUGGCCCGGGUACAUACGGAGUUUCCAAGUUUGGUCAAGAUCAGCGAGGAUUUCCUGGGACUAGACUGGAGCUUUACCUCCCCAGAGAGGAAUGUCAAGAUGGGCCCCAUGGCUGGGUGUGGUGGCCCACACCUGUGAUCCCAGCACUCAGGAGGCUGAGGCAGGAGGAUCAUCAUGAGUUGGAGGCCAGCCUGCACUACACAGUGAGGCCCUGUCUCAAAAAACCAAAAUGCAAUGGGCCACAUGACAAGGUCAUUUCAGACAAACUAUGAAGAGAAAAAAGCAAAGUGACCUUUGCUGGAUAAAUUGCUGCAGAAAUUCUGGAUGUAAAAUAAAGGAAGACGUAAGCCACUUAAUACAGGCAUAAACUGGAGAGCUUUUUGAGAAUGAGCAGGCAAGAGUGGGAGGGAGCAGGGCCUGAGCACUGAUUUAGGAUCUGCCUUGGGAUGGUGUGGCCUUGGGUAGGUCAUGCAGCCUCAGCUCCUUAAAGGGCAGUGACGAAGCUUCUCCUGGAGGGCUGGGAGUCCCACACCCUGUCCUCUAGCCACAAUUCCAUGCUUCUGGACAGCACAGACUGACAACACAAGGACCUCUAGACCAUGAGGUUCAUCAAGAGACCAUUGCAGCUGGGCAUUGGGGCUUGACCCUGUCACCCCAAGCUAUGUGGGUGGCUGAGGCAGGAGGAUCAGGCAAGCCCAGGAGUUUGAGACCAUCCUGGGCAGCACAGUGAGGGCCCAAGGCCCCAUCUCAACGCACAAACAAGCAAACCAAAGAGGCAGUUUCAGGGCCAGAGUGUAGCUCAAUGGUACAGCACUUCCCUAGUACACACAGGGUUCAAUCCUCAGUUUCAGGGUCUGAUCUUCAGGUAUGAAGGAGGAAAGGAAGAUGUGUGGCUGUGAACCAAGAUGCAUUAAAAAUGUCAUAAAAAUAUCUCCCACGGAGCCAGGCAUGGUGGGCUACAUCUGUAAUCACAGCACUCCGGGAGGCUGAGGCAGGAGGAUCACAAAUUCUAGCUCAGACUGGGCAACUUAGUAAGACCCUGUCUCAAAAUAAAAAUAUUAAAAAUAAGGGCGGGGGAUUUAGCUCAGUGGCAUCUGGCAAGUGCAAGGUCCAGAGUGAAGA
rnacentral:lncRNA from 1 species